GAUGAACGCUGGCGGCGUGCUUAACACAUGCAAGUCGAACGGAAAGACCCUGCUUUUGUGGGGUGCUCGAGUGGCGAACGGGUGAGUAACACGUGAGUAACCUGCCCUUGACUUUGGGAUAACUUCAGGAAACUGGGGCUAAUACCGGAUAGGAGCUCCUGCUGCAUGGUGGGGGUUGGAAAGUGUCGGCGGUUGGGGAUGGACUCGCGGCUUAUCAGCUUGUUGGUGGGGUAGUGGAGUUCAAAGGCUUUGAGGGGUAGGCGACCUGAGAGGGUGGCCGGCGUCCAUGGUACUGCGAUACGGCGCAGACUCCUACGGGCGGCAGCAGUCGGGAGUAUUGCACAAUGGGGGGAAGCGUGAUGUAGCAGCGCCCCGUGCGUGAUGCCGGCCUUCGGGUUGUGAACCGCUGUCGCCGGAGCCGAGGCGUGAGUGACGGUAAUGGGUAAAGAAGCACCGGCUAACUACGUG
rnacentral:rRNA from 1 species